rnacentral:tRNA from 1 species
GGCCUAGUGGUCUAGUAGCAUGAUACCUCCUUCGGGGCGUCGAGUUCCGCGUGUAACACGUAAGCUUGGAGGUGGUCCUGGGUUCAAUUCCCAGCUAGGCCC